CGAAACUGUUAUAUAACGGCUUUUUUCAAUUUGUUCUGAAGUAUAAUUUAAAUUUUUUUUAGAAUUCUGAAGGAAAAUUAACCAAGUUUGAUGUCAUUCAAAAGAGAAAAGAGAGAACAAAAUGUGUUUGUUCCUGUGGUGGUGUUUCAGGAAGAGGGUGAUUCCUUAUGGCUGCAGUGACCUCCCCAGAGCCUGAGUUGGUGGUUGAAGAUCUCAAGGUCCAUGCAAGGCACCCUCAGUGGAAUUUUCAAAGUCUUUCUUCGAUCCCUGUCUGGCAGUCAGUUCGGACGGUUGCGUGGGUAACUGUCCACUUGCCAACUCUUUGAUGGCUCAGUCUGAGCUUAUUCAGAUGUUCUGCCUUGGUGGUUUGGCAGUCAGAACUGAAUUCGUGCUGCUGGAAAAACACGAGGUUUAUGGAGGAGACUGUGGGGAAGAAUUUUCGGCUGUGUUUUACAGCUGAAUCCUUCCGAGUAACCCCAAGAAAGAGAUAAGUAUCACUAGGAUAUGACAGGUGAUCGAGCAAUAAUUACAUCCUAUUUUAAAGUUUCAGCAGUUCAAGAGAUGCUGAAUAUGAAAUGGAACAUCAUCUCAACCAUUAGAGUGGACUUUUUCAAAAUCUGGGCUGCAACUUUUUCGAUUUUGACUGAUUAUGACUACUGGAUUUGUCAGGAGGUGACCACGAGUGUCGCUCCCUUCGUUUUUUCUUAUUUGUGACUCUACAUAAUUUCCUGAUUUGCAUCUUUUUGUAUAUAAUUUUUAAGUUGCACAUAGUAUUAGUAUUAACUGUUUUUUUGUGACCUGAACCUCACACCUUCACCAUCCGUGAAUAAUUAUGUUGGUGGUCUGGCGAUCAUAAACUGUAGCACAAAGGAUGAAUUAUUCAAUUGUUAAAAAAUCGGAAAGGAUAUCCCAGAAUAUAUAAAAAAUAAAAUUAGAAAAGCAGUUUUUAAAAAAUCAAAGGUAAAGCACAGAUGUGUAAUAGAAAGAAGAAAAAAAAAAUUAUUUGCUACUGUUUGAUUUGUGCUUUUAGAAACAUUCACAUUCUAUUGAUUUGUUGGUCACGAUUAAAGAAACAAAGUGUCUUAUGUCUGAAGAUGCCAAUGGUGAGUUUAAAUUGCUUAUAGAAUAAUACUGCCAAAGAAUCAUUAACUAUUAAAAAUUUAUACAUAAAAAUGAUCCAUAUUGCAAAAUAUGGAUAAAUCCAAAAGAACAAUUUCAAACAACGGUUUUUCAAGAUUCUCUCAAUCC
rnacentral:lncRNA from 1 species